AGAUUGAACGCUGGCGGCAUGCUUUACACAUGCAAGUCGAACGGUAACAGGCCGCAAGGUGCUGACGAGUGGCGAACGGGUGAGUAAUGUAUCGGAACGUGCCCAGUCGUGGGGGAUAACGCAGCGAAAGCUGCGCUAAUACCGCAUACGAUCUAUGGAUGAAAGCGGGGGACUCGCAAGAGCCUCGCGCGAUUGGAGCGGCCGAUAUCAGAUUAGCUAGUUGGUGGGGUAAAAGCCCACCGAAGGCGACGAUCUGUAGCUGGUCUGAGAGGACGACCAGCCACACUGGAACUGAGACACGGUCCAGACUCCGUACGGGAGCAGCAGGUGGGAAUUUUGGACAAUGGGCGAAAGCCUGAUCAGCAAUGCCGCGUGCGAGGA
rnacentral:rRNA from 1 species